rnacentral:lncRNA from 1 species
UACGGCAUGGCAUGCCCCUUGGAGCAGCAUCCAACUUUUUUAGCCAAUUUCAAUUAAUGCAAGCAUCACUUGACCUUUGAUCAGACACUGAUUAGACACCUAUUUGAACUGAGACUUAACUAUCAUCCAUUCUCAAUCAUCGGUAUGACAUGUAACCUUGGAAAAAUCUCUCUCUCUCUCUCUCUCUCUCUCUCUCUCGAUUCAACCAAUCAAAAGAAAAGAAAAGAAAACAAUAGAAAUACACAAAAAAACAAAAAACACACAAACAAACAUGCAUAGUUUUAUCUUUCAAAAUUGAAAACUAGGAUACGCACGAUGUGCCUCCCGAGAGUU